rnacentral:rRNA from 1 species
AGCAGCCGCGGUAAUUCCAGCUCCAAUAGCGUAUAUUAAAGUUGUUGCAGUUAAAAAGCUCGUAGUUGAACUUCGGGAUCAAUGGAUCGGUCAUGCCGUUGGUAUGUACUGGUCAUAUUGGUUCUCACCUUCUAAAGAACCUUAAUGUCAUUAAUUUGAUGUUUUGGGGAAUUAGGACUGUUAACCUUGAAAAAUUAGAGUAGUUUAAAGCAGGCUAACGCUUGAAUACAUUAGCAUGGAAUAAUGAAAUAGGACAUCGCAUUCUAUUUUGUUGGUUUCUAGGAUCGAUGGUAAUGAUUAAUAGGGAUAGUUGGGGGCAUUAGUAUUCAAUUGUCAGAGGUGAAAUUCUUGGAUUUAUUGAAGACUAACUACUGCGAAAGCAUUUGCCAAGGAUGUUUUCA